UAGCUAGUUGGUGAGGUAUCGGCCCACCAAGGCUACGAUUGGUAGCUGGACUGAGAGGUUGAACGGCCACAUUGGGACUGUGACACGGCCCAGACUCGUACGGGAGGCAGCAGUGGGGGAUAUUGCACAAUGGGGGAAACCGUGAUGCAGCGACGCCGCGUGGAGGAAGAAGGUUUUCGGAUUGUAAACUCCUGUUGUUAGGGACGAAUCAUGACGGUACCUAACAAGAAAGCACCGUCUAAUUACUUGCCAGCAGCCGCGGUAAAACGUAGGGUGCUAGCGUUGUCAUGAAUUACUGGGUGUAAAGGGAGCGCAGGCGGACCGGCAAGUUGGAAGUGAAAACCAUGGGCUCAACCCAUGAAUUGCUUUCAAAACUGCUGGCCUUGAGUAGUGCAGAGGUAGGUGGAAUUCCCGGUGUAGCGGUGGAAUGCGUAGAUAUCGGGAGGAACACCAGUGGCGAAGGCGACCUACUGGGCACCAACUGACGCUGAGGCUCGAAAGCAUGGGUAGCAAACAGGAUUAGAUACCCUGGUAGUCCAUGCCGUAAACGAUGAUUACUAGGUGUUGGAGGAUCGACCCCUUCAGUGCCGCAGUUAACACAAUAAGUAAUCCACCUGGGGAGUACGACCGCAAGGUUGAAACUCAAAGGAAUUGACGGGGGCCCGCACAAGCAGUGGAGUAUGUGGUUUAAUUCGAAGCAACACGAAGAACCUUACCAGGUCUUGACAUCCGAUGCAUAGUGCAGAGAUGCAUGAAGUCCUACGGGACAUCGAGACAGGUGGUGCAUGGUUGUCGUCAGCUCGUGUCGUGAGAUGUUGGGUUAAGUCCCCCAACGAGUGCAACCCUUAUUCCCAGUUAGUACGCAAGAGGAGUCUGCCGAGACUCCCGUUGACAAAACGGAGGAAGGUGGGGAUGACGUCAAAUCAUCAUGCCCUUUCUGACGUGGGAUACACACGUACUACAAUGGCGUUUAACAAAGAGAAGCAAGACCGAGAGGGGGAGCAAAAGUCAGAAACAACGUCUCAGUUCAGAUUGCAGGCUGCAACUCGCCUGCAUGAAGUCGGAAUUGCUAGCAAUCGCGGAUCAGCAUGCCGCG
rnacentral:rRNA from 1 species